CCUACGGGUGGCUGCAGUGGGGAAUAUUGGACAAUGGGGGGAACCCUGAUCCAGCCAUGCCGCGUGUGUGAAGAAGGCCCUCGGGUUGUAAAGCACUUUCAGUGAGGAAGAACGCCUGGUGGUUAAUACCCAUCAGGAAAGACAUCACUCACAGAAGAAGCACCGGCUAACUCCGUGCCAGCAGCCGCGGUAAUACGGAGGGUGCGAGCGUUAAUCGGAAUUACUGGGCGUAAAGCGCGCGUAGGUGGCUUGAUAAGCCGGUUGUGAAAGCCCCGGGCUCAACCUGGGAACGGCAUCCGGAACUGUCAAGCUAGAGUGCAGGAGAGGAAGGUAGAAUUCCCGGUGUAGCGGUGAAAUGCGUAGAGAUCGGGAGGAAUACCAGUGGCGAAGGCGGCCUUCUGGACUGACACUGACACUGAGGUGCGAAAGCGUGGGUACCAAACAGGAUUAGAUACCCUGGUAGUC
rnacentral:rRNA from 1 species